rnacentral:rRNA from 1 species
CCUACGGGUGGCUGCAGUGGGGAAUAUUGCACAAUGGGGGAAACCCUGAUGCAGCGACGCCGCGUGAGUGAAGAAGUAUCUCGGUACGUAAAGCUCUAUCAGCAGGGAAGAAAAUGACGGUACCUGACUAAGAAGCCCCGGCUAACUACGUGCCAGCAGCCGCGGGAAUAAGUAGGGGGCAAGCGUUAUCCGGAUUUACUGGGUGAAAAGGGUGCGGAGAUGGGAGCACAAGUCUGGAGUGAAAUCCCGGGGGUUAACCCCGGAACUGCUAUGGAAACUGGGCGGCUGGAGUGCAGGAGAGGUAAGCGGAAUUCCGAGUGUAGCGGUGAAAUGCGUAGAUAUUAGGAGGAACACCGGUGGCGAAGGCGGCGUACUGGACUGUAACUGACGUUGAGGCUCGAAAGCGUGGGGAGCAAACAGGAUUAGAUACCCUAGUAGUC